rnacentral:rRNA from 1 species
UAUGUGAUCGUCUCUCGCAUAUCAAUAAGCGGAGGAAAAGAAACUAACAAGGAUUCCCCUAGUAACGGCGAGUGAGGCGGGAAGAGCUCAAAUUUGAAAUCUUAAAGGGUUUCCCUUUACGAAUUGUAGUUUAAAGAAGUGUUUUCUGUUGAGGUUUUGGUAAAAGUUCUUUGGAAUAGGACAUCAUAGAGGGUGAGAAUCCCGUAUUUGACCUUUACUUUCAACUUUGUGAUACACUUUCAAAGAGUCGGAUUGUUUGGGAAUGCAGUCCAAAAUGGGUGGUAAAUUUCAUCUAAAGCUAAAUAGUUGGCGAGAGACCGAUAGCGAACAAGUACCGUGAGGGAAAGAUGAAAAGAACUUUGAAAAGAGAGUUAAACAGUACGUGAAAUUGUCAAAAGGGAAGCGUUUGACACCAGUGUUGUUUUUCUGAAAAUCAAUUAAAGAACUGUUUAUGCUAAGCUGUUUUAGACUUUAUCAGCUAAUCUGUUUAGUUUUGAGCUUUUCUUUAAUGCACUUUUCAGUUAACAAGUCAACAUCAAUUUCUUUUGCUGUAAAAAAGCUUGAGGAAGGUGGCUUGAGAUUCGUCUUAAGUGUUUAUAGCCUCUUGCCUAUGCAGUCGGAGAGAUUGAGGUCUGCAGCGUAGAUCCUUCGGGGCUAAAUGCAUUUGUGCUAAGUUAUAGCAUUUUAUAGACAACUUGUUGACUAUGAUUUGUCUUGUAGCUUACUCGCUUAUGUUAUUUUACCUACGCUUAGGAUGUUGAUCUACAGAGCGAGAGU